rnacentral:rRNA from 1 species
UACGGAGGAUCCGAGCGUUAUCCGGAUUUAUUGGGUUUAAAGGGUGCGCAGGCUGACCGAUAAGUCAGGGGUGAAAAAUUUCAGCUUAACUGGAAUCGUGCCUUUGAUACUGUCGGACUAGAGUGUAACUGACGUGACUGGAAUGUGCCGUGUAGCGGUGAAAUGCUUAGAUAUGUCACAGAACGCCGAUCGUGAAGACAGGUCACGAAGUUACUACUGACGCUCAUGCACGAAAGCGUGGGGAUCAAACAGGAUUAGAUACCCUGGUAGUCCACGCUGUAAACGAUGAUUACUCGUUGUUGGGCAGCAAUGCUCAGUGGCCAAGCGAAAGUGAUAAGUAAUCCACCUGGGGAGUACGAUCGCAAGGUUGAA